CCUACGGGUGGCAGCAGUGGGGAAUAUUGCACAAUGGGGGAAAGCCUGAUGCAGCGACGCCGCGUGAGGGAAGAAGUAAUUCGUUAUGGAAAGCUCUAUCAGCAGGGAAGUAAAGGACGGUACCUGAGUAAGUAGCCCCGGCCAAUGACGGUCCAGCAGCCGCGGUAAGACGUAGGGGGCAAGCGUUAUCCGGAUUUACUGGGUGUAAAGGGAGCGUAGACGGCUGUGCAAGUCGGGUGUGAAAGGCGGGGGCUAAACCCCCGGACUGCUCUGGAAACUGUAAGGCUUGAGUGCAGCAGAGGUAAGUGGAAUUCCUGGUGGAGCGGUGAAAUGCGUAGAUAUUAGGAAGAACACCAGUGGCGAAGGCGGCCUACUGGACUGUAACUGACGUUGAGGCUCGAAAGCGUGGGGAGCAAACAGGAUUAGAUACCCGAGUAGUC
rnacentral:rRNA from 1 species